AGGAUAAACGCUGGCGGCGUGCAUGAGACAUGCAAGUCGAACGGACGAUCGAGGCUUGCUUCGAUCGUUAGUGGCGGACGGCUGAGUAACGCGUAGGUGACCUGCCCCGAAGUGGGGAAUAACUGCCCGAAAGGGUGGCUAAUACCGCAUGUGGUGGUGCGUUCAAUCGCACCAGUAAAGCCGCAAGGCGCUUCGGGGGGGGCCUGCGUCCGAUUAGCUCGUUGGUGGGGUAACGGCUCACCAAGGCGACGAUCGGUAGGUGGUCUGAGAGGGCGAGUCACCCGAGACUGGGACGUGAGACACGGCCCAGACUCCUACGGGAGGCAGCAGUCGGGAAUUUUGCGCAAUGGACGAAAGUCUGACGCAGCAACGCCGCGUGAGGGAUGAAGGCCUUCGGGUUGUAAACCUCUUUUAUCAGGGAAGAUAAUGACGGUACCUGAUGAAUAAGUCACGGCUAACUACGUGCCAGCAGCCGC
rnacentral:rRNA from 1 species